GAAACCUGCAUUUUUCUGUAAAUGUCAUCGACCAGUUUUGCCACCUCUUCCUUUCCCACAGCACUUUUCUUUGCUGAUGUCUUUGGAACUUGCUCAUCCGAGAGAAUGGCUAUUAUUCGGUCAACAAGGUCCUGCUUCUUCCCUUGCUUUGAAAGACCUAACUGUGUCAAGACAUCCUUGAGCUCUUUUAUCCGAAAAUAUGCCAAUUUGUCCUUACAACUAGCUACCAAAUCCAUCUUUUGACCUCUAUACACUUGAAGCCCAAAUUCAAUACCCAAAUCAAUACUUUAAACCAUCGAUUACUCAAUUAGCCAACCAAACAAGCCCAAUUGGCCCAUGCACAAUCUCAAAACUGCGAUCGAUCUAUUCAGAAAUGUUCCAACAAAAAUCAUCAC
rnacentral:misc_RNA from 1 species